rnacentral:misc_RNA from 1 species
AAGUCGUAACAAGGUUUCCGUAGGUGAACCUGCGGAAGGAUCAUUAACACGUAUCCAACGUUAAACCCCCUGUGAACCUUCAUUGUACGAGUUACAUCCACGUCAUAAACCGGCAAUCUCUGGUAAAUCAUCGCCGAACAGUUUUGAUUCAGAGACCUCUGGGAACCUGGCAUUCCUCUGCUUGUUAGUGUCUGAAAGUGUCACUAGCUAUGUACGGAUGGCGCAGUAACGAUCGCUGGAGGCCGACACGGCCGGCGACCAGGUCACUGGGCUACGGCCCCCCUGAUCACAACCUUUGCAUGAAAACGGGCCUGCGCUGAGGCGCGGCCACCCCUAAUGCUUGAACAACUGUUAACAAUGGAUAUCUUGGUUCUC